UACGUAGGAUGCAAGUGUUAUCCGGAAUCACUGGGCGUAAAGCGUCUGUAGGUGGUUUAAUAAGUCAACUGUUAAAUCUUGAGGCUCAACCUCAAAAUCGCAGUCGAAACUAUUAGGCUAGAGUAUAGUAGGGGUAAAGGGAAUUUCCAGUGGAGCGGUGAAAUGCGUAGAGAUUGGAAAGAACACCGAUGGCGAAGGCACUUUACUGGGCUAUUACUAACACUCAGAGACGAAAGCUAGGGUAGCAAAUGGG
rnacentral:rRNA from 1 species